rnacentral:misc_RNA from 1 species
AAACUUCCUGAGAUUUAACUAGUUCUUGACUUAAGAAAGCAAGGUGGGGUGUUGAAUAAAUUCUCAAAUUUAAUGUUGGCUGCAAUGGAGAAAAGCACUUCAAAAAGGUUUUCAAUGAUUAGUGGCUGCACAGUUGGUGCUAGACAAAAAGUUGAUUCUUUCAUGAUUAGUGAUUGCCAAGGAUAAAAAUAGAAUCAAAUAUGGAUGAACAAAAUUUAAAAAUGGGGCUUUUUAUGCUUUCAGGUCUACACCAUGAAUGUUAUUUUUGAAUUGUAUGGUGAAUUAAGUUGAGCAAUUUGAUGCCAAUUUAUAUAAGGAUUCAUAAGUUUUGAAUUGAUGUUUAAAGGUUUUGAUGAAGUGAAAACAAAAUCUAAAUUUUAUUUGAAGUUGUUUUUGAAAUCAAAAGAAGAGUAAAAGUUGGGCAAAGGAGGUGAAAGCUCAUUAUUAAAUUCCUUUGUAUGCCUAAUACUUGUUAAUCCACUUGAUGAUUCCUCCAGGGAAGAUGGGGCUGGAGGGUGCAGGAGACAUCAAUGUCUGGAUUACUUUGACAAAAUUAAAGGGGUAAAAUGUGGAAGCAAACUCUGAUAGGUCUCAUUGAUGCAGCAUAAUAAACAUAGUGAUGAUCAUGGCCUGUUUUCCUUAAGGCGAAAUUUCUUCUCUUGGAAUCAAAAACCAAGACCUAGUAUGUAUGAAUCCUUAAUUGGAAUGUAAAUUAAUGAAGAGGGAAGUGGUUCUUGCUGCAAUAGCUACCACA